rnacentral:rRNA from 1 species
UUGGGCACUGUCUCAACAACAGACUCGGUGAAAUUGUAAUUCCGGUGAAGAUGCCGGAUACCUGCGACAGGACGGAAAGACCCCAUGGAGCGUUACUGUAGCUUGACAUUGGGUCUUGGUACUACAUGUACAGGAUAGGUGGGAGGCUUUGAAACCAGGACGCCAGUUUUGGCGGAGCCAUCCUUGGGAUACCACCCUUGUAGUACUGGGACUCU